GGUCUGGCGGCGUGCUAUACAUGCAAGUCGAGCGAACAGACGAGGAGCUUGCUCCUCUGACGUUAGCGGCGGACGGGUGAGUAACACGUGGAUAACCUACCUAUAAGACUGGGAUAACUUCGGGAAACCGGAGCUAAUACCGGAUAAUAUAUUGAACCGCAUGGUUCAAUAGUGAAAGACGGUUUUGCUGUCACUUAUAGAUGGAUCCGCGCCGCAUUAGCUAGUUGGUAAGGUAACGGCUUACCAAGGCAACGAUGCGUAGCCGACCUGAGAGGGUGAUCGGCCACACUGGAACUGAGACACGGUCCAGACUCCUACGGGAGGCAGCAGUAGGGAAUCUUCCGCAAUGGGCGAAAGCCUGACGGAGCAACGCCGCGUGAGUGAUGAAGGUCUUCGGAUCGUAAAACUCUGUUAUUAGGGAAGAACAAAUGUGUAAGUAACUAUGCACGUCUUGACGGUACCUAAUCAGAAAGCCACGGCUAACUACGUGCCAGCAGCCGCGGUAAUACGUAGGUGGCAAGCGUUAUCCGGAAUUAUUGGGCGUAAAGCGCGCGUAGGCGGUUUUUUAAGUCUGAUGUGAAAGCCCACGGCUCAACCGUGGAGGGUCAUUGGAAACUGGAAAACUUGAGUGCAGAAGAGGAAAGUGGAAUUCCAUGUGUAGCGGUGAAAUGCGCAGAGAUAUGGAGGAACACCAGUGGCGAAGGCGACUUUCUGGUCUGUAACUGACGCUGAUGUGCGAAAGCGUGGGGAUCAAACAGGAUUAGAUACCCUGGUAGUCCACGCCGUAAACGAUGAGUGCUAAGUGUUAGGGGGUUUCCGCCCCUUAGUGCUGCAGCUAACGCAUUAAGCACUCCGCCUGGGGAGUACGACCGCAAGGUUGAAACUCAAAGGAAUUGACGGGACCCGCACAAGCGGUGGAGCAUGUGGUUUAAUUCGAAGCAACGCGAAGAACCUUACCAAAUCUUGACAUCCUCUGACCCCUCUAGAGAUAGAGUUUUCCCCUUCGGGGGACAGAGUGACAGGUGGUGCAUGGUUGUCGUCAGCUCGUGUCGUGAGAUGUUGGGUUAAGUCCCGCAACGAGCGCAACCCUUAAGCUUAGUUGCCAUCAUUAAGUUGGGCACUCUAAGUUGACUGCCGGUGACAAACCGGAGGAAGGUGGGGAUGACGUCAAAUCAUCAUGCCCCUUAUGAUUUGGGCUACA
rnacentral:rRNA from 1 species